rnacentral:misc_RNA from 1 species
CCUGUCUAUUUUAGAUGUUUCUUCCAAUCAUUUAAAGGGCCAUUUGCCAAAUCCGUUGAAUGCAAGUCCAAAUGCAAACCUCUUCCUACUAGAGCUUUCCAAUAACCAAUUAUCUGGUCCCAUACCAAGCAAUAUUGAUCAAAUCAUGCCUCUAUACUUUCUCUCUCUUUCUGGUAACCAGCUGAAUGGUCAAAUCCCAGCCUUAAUUGGAGAGAUGAAUAAUCUUGAAGUAUUGGAUCUUUCAAGAAAUAAUUUGACAGGAAGCAUUCGUUCAAGCAUUGGGAAUUGUCUUACCCUCUAUGUUCUAGACCUUCAAAACAACAAUUUGUUAGGUGGCAUUCCAAGAUCUAUGGGUCAGUUACCUGAGCUUCGAACACUUCACCUGGUCAACAACAGAUUAUCAUUGUUGGAAACUUUGGACCUCUCGAACAAUAGGCUGACAGGUAAUAUACCACCUUGGAUUGGAAAAGCUUUCUCAUCUCUCAGAAUGCUUAGCUUGAGGUCAAAUAACUUCUCCGGAUAACUUCGUUUAGCACUUUCAAAUUUGAGUUCUUUGAAAAUUUUGGACCUGGCAGAAAACCAAUUGAAUGGCUCCUUUUCUUUUGCCUUUCAAAAUCUUGAAGCCAUGACACAUCUGCAAAAUGUUAGCCAGCAAGUUUUGUUUUACACAGCGAACAAUGGCUUUUACAAAGAAAACAUAUAUGUCAUAAAAAAUGGCCUUGAAUUGCAGUACACCAAAACUCUUUCCCUUUUGACCAGCAUAGAACUUUCUGGAAAUAAUUUAUAUGGAGAGUUUCCCAAAGAAAUAACAAAAUUAGUUGGUUUGGAAGUUUUGAACUUGUCAAGAAACCAUAUCAGUGGCCAGAUUCCUGAAAACAUUUCAGAAUUGCGUCAGUUGUUAUCUCUUGAUCUCUCAGGCAAUAGGCUUUCAGGCCUAAUUCCUCAGAGCAUGUCUUCAAUGACAUUUUUGGGAAGUUUGAAUCAGUCAAAUAAUAACUUCUCAGGCAGAAUUCCAUAUAACGGUCAGAUGACAACUUUUGAUGCAUCUUCGUUUGGUGGUAAUUCAGGUCUCUGCGGGGAUCCCCCCACUUUGAAAUGUCUAGAUGCUGAUUCAAACAAUUGGGGAAGCCGUGAUGAUUCAGAUGGUGGAAGGAAAGAUGAGGCAGAUGAUGGUAAUGGCUUCAUUGAUAAGUGGUUUUACUUGAGCGUUGGGUUGGGAUUUGCAGUAGGUUUGCUGCUUCCUUAUUUGAUAUUUGCAAUCAAAAGAUCCUGGGGUGGAGCAUACUUUGCUUUUGUGGAUGGAACUGCUUAUAGAUUGUCUAGUAGAAAAAUGAGAGCAGCAACAAGAAGAAGAAUUUGGGGCACAUGCUGAGGUUUCUUUAUCUACUUUUCUUUUUUUUUGUGAAUUUUCAUUUUCUUGUACAAUCUGCAGACAAAUCAUUGAUGUAAUUUUGCUAGUCUUCCAUGUAGAAGUUUUUCUAAUUUUCAGAAUAAACUUUCUGUUAUGAUAGUUGCAAGCUCUCUUUUAAAUCUUC